rnacentral:rRNA from 1 species
GACGAACGCUGGCGGCGUGCCUAACACAUGCAAGUCGAACGGAACUGUUUUGAAAGAUUUCUUCGGAAUUUAUUUGAUUUCGUUUAGUGGCGGAGGGGUGAGUAACGCUUGAGUAACCUGCCUUCAAGAGGGAAAUAACGUUCUGAAAGGAUUGCUAAUACCCCAUAACAUUUCGGAACCAAAUGGUUUUUUUAUCAAACAUUUUAUCGCUUUAAGAUGGACUCGCGUCCGUUUAGUUAGUUGGGGAGUUAACGGCUCACCAAGACUGCGAUCGGUAACAGGACUGCGAGGUCGAACGGCAGAAUUGGGACUGAGACACGGCCCAGAAUCCUACGGGAGGCAGCAGUGGGGGAUAUUGCGAAAUGGGGGCAACCCUGAAGGAGCAACGCAGCGUGAAGGAUGAAGGUUAUCGAAUUGUAAACUUCUUUUAUUAAGGACGAAAAAUGACGGUACUUAAUGAAUAAGCCCCGGCUAACUACGUG